AUUGAACGCUGGCGGCAGGCCUGACACAUGCAAGUCGAGCGGGGUUUUCGGACCUAGCGGCGGACGGGUGAGUAAUGCGUAGGAAGCUGCCCGAUAGAGGGGGAUACCAGUUGGAAACGACUGUUAAUACCGCAUAAUGUCUACGGACCAAAGUGUGGGACCUUCGGGCCACAUGCUAUCGGAUGCGCCUACGUGGGAUUAGCUAGUUGGUGAGGUAAUGGCUCACCAAGGCGACGAUCCCUAGCUGGUUUGAGAGGAUGAUCAGCCACACUGGAACUGAGACACGGUCCAGACUCCUACGGGAGGCAGCAGUGGGGAAUAUUGGACAAUGGGCGCAAGCCUGAUCCAGCCAUGCCGCGUGUGUGAAGAAGGCCUUCGGGUUGUAAAGCACUUUCAGUAGGGAGGAAGCGUUGUGUGUUAAUAGUACACAGCGUUGACGUUACCUACAGAAGAAGCACCGGCUAACUCUGUGCCAGCCGCCGCAGUAACAC
rnacentral:rRNA from 1 species